UGGGGAAUAUUGGACAAUGGGCGAAGGCCUGAUCCAGCCAUGCCGCGUGUGUGAAGAAGGCCUUUUGGUUGUAAAGCACUUUAAGUGGGGAGGAAAAGCUUGUGGUUAAUACCCAUAAGCCCUGACGUUACCCACAGAAUAAGCACCGGCUAACUCUGUGCCAGCAGCCGCGGUAAUACAGAGGGUGCAAGCGUUAAUCGGAAUUACUGGGCGUAAAGCGCGCGUAGGUGGUUAUUUAAGUCAGAUGUGAAAGCCCCGGGCUUAACCUGGGAACUGCAUCUGAUACUGGAUAACUAGAGUAGGUGAGAGGGGAGUAGAAUUCCAGGUGUAGCGGUGAAAUGCGUAGAGAUCUGGAGGAAUACCGAAGGCGAAGGCAGCCCCUUGGGAAUGUACUGACGCUCAUGUGCGAAAGCGUGGGUAGCAAACAGGAUUAGAUACCCUGGUAGUCCACGCCGUAAACGAUGUCUACCAGUCGUUGGGUCUUUUAAAGACUUAGUGACGCAGUUAACGCAAUAAGUAGACCGCCUGGGGAGUACGGCCGCAAGGUUA
rnacentral:rRNA from 1 species